CCCCCUUCAUCCAAAAAAAAAAAGAGCCCAGGCUUUUAUCUCGCCGUCUAAUUCGAUUCUUCGGGAAGCGAUAGAGAGAAGGGAGUGAGCAGUCUUAAUUUAGAACAUACAGGGUGCCAUGGGAACUGAAGACUCUAAAGAUAUACUGAAACACAGGGAUUGGAAGGCAGUGGGUGGUGCUAUAACUGGUGAACCAAGUGGGCCAAUCACAAAAAAACGGCUUCCGAAGAAACUAAGACAAGUCCCUGACUACUAUUUUCUUCCUCGGCGAUCAUUACCUUCUGCUAUUGCCAUCUAUGGUGCCAUCUGUGUUGCUGGAGUUGGUGCCGGGAUGCUAAUGGAGGUUUGGAUAAACAAAAAGAUCAAAGAGGAUGAUGCCGUCGUCUGGGUGAUGGACUGAAAGUGCUGAGUGGAUUUGCAGGUGCAGUUUGAGAUGCUCUAAAGUUUUCUAGCAUAUUCAGAUGCAACGAUGUUCUACUAGCUUGAAAUGGAGUAUGUCUAAUUACAUACUGUAACGGUGGCCAAAAUGGUUCCAUUUGUUUUGCUGCAUUAUGAGGUGUUAUGUUGCUUCUUUUUCAUCCCAAAUUUUUUAGGUCAGCACUGAAUUGAGUGAAUUCUUCUUUUCUGGAAAUAAGCAAUUUCUUGUGGUUAUA